CUACGGGGGGCUGCAGUGGGGAAUUUUGCGCAAUGGGCGAAAGCCUGACGCAGCAACGCCGCGUGCGGGAUGAAGGCCUUCGGGUCGUAAACCGCUGUCAAGUGGGAAGAACCCUGACGGUACCACUGAAGGAAGCCCCGGCUAACUUCGUGCCAGCAGCCGCGGUAAUACGAAGGGGGCAAGCGUUGUUCGGAAUCAUUGGGCGUAAAGCGUAUGUAGGCGGCUGGAUAAGUCGGGCGUGCAAGCCCGCGGCUCAACCGCGGAAUUGCGCUCGAAACUGUCCGGCUUGAGUGCAGGAGAGGAAAGCGGAAUUCCCAGUGUAGCGGUGAAAUGCGUUGAUAUUGGGAAGAACACCAGUGGCGAAGGCGGCUUUCUGGCCUGCAACUGACGCUGAGAUACGAAAGCCAGGGGAGCGAACGGGAUUAGAUACCCGCGUAGUC
rnacentral:rRNA from 1 species